rnacentral:rRNA from 1 species
CAGUCGCCGCGGUAAUACGAAGGGGGCUAGCGUUGUUCGGAAUCACUGGGCGUAAAGGGUGCGUAGGCUGGUUCUUAAGUCAGGGGUGAAAUCCCGAGGCUCAACCUCGGAACGGCCUUUGAUACUGGGGAUCUUGAGUCCGGAAGAGGUGAGUGGAACUGCGAGUGUAGAGGUGAAAUUCGUAGAUAUUCGCAAGAACACCGGUGGCGAAGGCGGCUCACUGGUCCGGAACUGACGCUGAGGCACGACAGCGUGGGGAGCAAACAGGAUUAGAUACCCCAGUAGUCCCUGUCUCUUAUAA